rnacentral:rRNA from 1 species
AUUGAACGCUGGCGGCAGGCCUAACACAUGCAAGUCUAACGGGUGGCGGCCGGGUGCGUAAUGUCUGGGAAACUGACUUAUGGAGUGGGAUAACUACUGGAAACGGUAGCUAAUACCGCAUACCAUCGGAUGUGCCCAGAUGGGAUUAGCUAGUAGGUGGGGUAACGGCUCACCAAGGCGACGAUCACUAGCUGGUCUGAGAGGAUGCACAGCCACAAUGGAACUGUGACACGGUCCAGACUCCGACGGGAGGCAGCAGUGGGGAAUAUUGCACAAUUGGCGAAAGCCGGAUGCAGCCAUGCCGCGGUUAUGAAGAAGGCCUUCGGGGUGUAAAGUACUUUCAGCGGGGAGGCUUUACCCGCCGAAGAAGCACGGGCUAACUCCGUGCCAGCAGCCGCGGUAAUUC